GCCUGCUUAGCUCAGUGGUAGAGCGCGUCACUUGUAUGGCCAUGUGUACAUACAUACACAUGAUUUACAUGACGAGGUCAGUCGUUCAAACCGGCUAGUUGGCA